CAUAUCGAUGAGCCACGGGCACGCGCCUGCUCGGCGCGAGCAUUGUGGUUCAAGUCCGCUGGUAUGUC
rnacentral:tRNA from 1 species